UACGUAGGGUGCAAGCGUUGUCCGGAAUUAUUGGGCGUAAAGAGCUCGUAGGCGGUUUGUCGCGUCUGCUGUGAAAACUCGGGGCUUAACCCCGGGCCUGCAGUGGGUACGGGCAGACUAGAGUGCGGUAGGGGAGACUGGAAUUCCUGGUGUAGCGGUGAAAUGCGUAGAUAUCAGGAGGAACACCUGUGGCGAAAGCGGCUCACUGGACCAUAACUGACGCUGAUGCACGAAAGCUAGGGGAGCAAACAGG
rnacentral:rRNA from 1 species